UGGGGAAUAUUGGACAAUGCGCGCAAGCCUGAUCCAGCCAUGCCGCGUGAGUGAUGAAGGCCUUAGGGUUGUAAAGCUCUUUCACCGGUGAAGAUAAUGACGGUAACCGGAGAAGAAGCCCCGGCUAACUUCGUGCCAGCAGCCGCGGUAAUACGAAGGGGGCUAGCGUUGUUCGGAUUUACUGGGCGUAAAGCGCACGUAGGCGGACUUUUAAGUCAGGGGUGAAAUCCCGUGGCUCAACCCCGGAACUGCCUUUGAUACUGGAAGUCUUGAGUAUGGUAGAGGUGAGUGGAAUUCCGAGUGUAGAGGUGAAAUUCGUAGAUAUUCGGAGGAACACCAGUGGCGAAGGCGGCUCACUGGCUCGAUACUGACGCUGAGGUGCGAAAGCGUGGGGAGCAAACAGG
rnacentral:rRNA from 1 species